AGGGUUUGAUCCUGGCUCAGGACGAACGCUGGCGGCGCGCCUAACACAUGCAAGUCGAACGGAGCUUAAAGAGCUUGCUUUUUAAGCUUAGUGGCGAACGGGUGAGUAACGCGUGAGUAACCUGCCCUGGAGUGGGGGACAACAGUUGGAAACGACUGCUAAUACCGCAUAAGCCCACGGCCCGGCAUCGGGCUGCGGGAAAAGGAUUUAUUCGCUUCAGGAUGGACUCGCGUCCAAUUAGCUAGUUGGUGAGGUAACGGCCCACCAAGGCGACGAUUGGUAGCCGGACUGAGAGGUUGAACGGCCACAUUGGGACUGAGACACGGCCCAG
rnacentral:rRNA from 1 species